ACGAGUUCUGACUUGGGUUGUCGCUGGUCCUCCGGGACAUGUGCACACUCAAUGCUCAUCCACUCACCCCUGUGCACACUUGUAGUCUCUCUAAUGGAUGUUGAAGGCCUCACGGGCUGGAUCUAUCUAACGGGGGGAUUACGUUUUAUACACGCAUAAAGUCUAGAAUGUAAUCUUUGCUAUAAACGCAUUUAAUA
rnacentral:misc_RNA from 1 species